rnacentral:rRNA from 1 species
ACUACGAGAGGCAGCAGUGAGGAAUAUUGGUCAAUGGACGAGAGUCUGAACCAGCCAAGUAGCGUGAAGGAUGACUGCCCUAUGGGUUGUAAACUUCUUUUAUAUGGGAAUAAAAUGUUCCACGUGUGGGAUUUUGUAUGUACCAUAUGAAUAAGGAUCGGCUAACUCCGUGACCGCCGCCGCGGUAAUAAGGAGGAGCCGAUCGUUAUCCGGAUUUAUUGGGUUUAAAGGGAGCGUAGGUGGAUUGUUAAGUCAGUUGUGAAAGUUUGCGGCGUAACCGUAAAAUUGCAGUUGAAACUGGCAGUCUGGAGUACAGUAGAGGUGGGCGGAAUUCGUGGUGUAGAGGUGACAUGCUUAGAUAUCACGAAGAACUCCGAUUGCGAAGGCAGCUCACUGGACUGCAACUGACACUGAGGCUCGAAAGUGUGGGUAUCAAACAGGAUUAGAUACCCUGGUAGUC